CAACUUCAGUUCCCUUUUAAAUCUCAAAAAUCUUUCACCUUUGACUAAACAUUUCCGUGAAGAGGAUCACUUGAAAGGAGUCCAGAUAAAUAUUUUUUUAUCGCCUGAUAUCGAUCGGGCU